GGCAAGAUGGCUCAGUGAUUAGAGCGCGAAUUUACUUACCAGAAGGUCCGUGGUUCGAAUCCGGCUUUUGCCU
rnacentral:tRNA from 1 species